rnacentral:lncRNA from 1 species
GUUGCAACUGAUCUCAGGCAUUCCAUUUGGAAGCAAAUGGCUGGUGCUGGGAUCAAACACAUUCCUAGCAAUACCUUCUCUUACUAUGAUCAAGUGCUUGAUACCACGGCAAUGCUUGGUGCUGUUCCUGAGAGGUACAAUUUCACUGGUGGAGAGAUUGGGUUCGAUACCUAUUUCUCUAUGGCCAGGGGAAAUGCCUCUGUGCCUGCUAUGGAGAUGACCAAGUGGUUUGACACCAACUAGUAAGCAUCUUCAGCAGCCCAACAUCUAAACUGGAUUAUUGAUUUUUUUUAAUGGCUGACGCUUAACAUUUUCUCUUAAUCUAGUCACUUCAUUGUUCCUGAGUUGGGUCCAACCACAAAGUUCUCCUACUCUUCUCACAAGCCAGUGUCUGAAUACAAGGAGGCAAAGUCUGUAAGUAAUUGGAUCCUUUUUUAUUUCUUGACUUAUUUUGUCUGAUUAUCUAAGUGAUACAAUGUACAUGACUUAAUUAUACAAGCCAGUGAUAUUAAGAUGCUAAUGGCCUGACUUUUUGAAUCAGUCAAAACCGAGUGUUCCAUUAACAUGAAUUGUAAAGCACUGUAAUUCUUCUGUGGUUAUAUCAAAUUAUCAAAUUGUGACCUACGAGUUUCAUUGCAUAGAGCUUUUUAGUCUUUCAUCUGUGUGGCACAAAAGCCGUAAAGGUGAAAAUAUUUCCAUGUUUGUCCAAUUACUCUUAGCUCUUGAGACUACUAAUUCUGAUUGGAGAUAGUUGUGGAAGCUUCAUAAUCUUAACUUCUAGUUGUAUACUUCAAAUCCAGUUUAAACAAUAAUUAAAUUUGCUAUGUUUGUCCCAUUCAUGCAGCUCGGAAUUGAGACAGUUCCGGUGCUUAUUGGUCCUGUGACUUAUUUGUUGCUCUCAAAACCUGCUAAAGGUGUUGAGAAAUCAUUUUCGCCUCUGACACUUCUUGGAGAUAUUCUGCCAAUUUACAAGUAAGGAUCCAUAAUAAGUUUCUAAGAUACUAGUUUGAUUUCUUUUUUUCUUUAUCCUUUAGUUCUAUACUUAAGAUAUCACCAUAAACAGGGAAGUUAUCACUGAGCUGAAGGCAGCUGGCGCUUCAUGGAUUCAGUUUGAUGAGCCAACCCUUGUAAAGGAUCUUGAGUCCCACCAAUUGGAAGCAUUUACAAAGGCCUACACAGAACUAGAAUCAUCAUUGUCUGGCUUAAAUGUGCUUGUAGAGACAUACUUUGCUGAUGUCCCUGCAGAAGCCUACAAGUUAGUUUGUUCUUAUUUUGAUUGAUGUACCAUAGAGCAUAAUAUUUGGAAGAGAUUGUCAUUCUUUUGUUUUUUUAGGACCAUCACUGCAUUGAAGAGUAUCUCAGGUUUUGGAUUUGAUCUUGUGCGUGGAACCAAGACACUUGACUUGGUCAAAAGUGUAGGCUUCCCUGCUGGCAAGUAUCUUUUUGCUGGAAUUGUGGAUGGAAGGAACAUCUGGGCUAAUGAUCUUGCAUCCUCUCUCAGUACACUGCAGGCUCUUGAGGCCAUUGUUGGCAAAGGUAUUUAUUUUCACUUUUAUAUCUUUCCAGCAACAAUUCUUUUGAGUUGCCACUGAUGGUAUGUGCCGGUUGUCUAUAGACAAGCUUGUUGUCUCGACUUCAUGCUCUCUCAUGCACACUGCCGUUGACCUUAUCAAUGAAACAAAAUUGGAUAGUGAGAUUAAGUCUUGGCUUGCUUUUGCUGCACAAAAAGUGGUCGAAGUGAAUGCAUUGGCAAAAGCAUUGGCUGAUCAGAAAGAUGAGGUCCUUAUGUCUGUCUCUGAUUUCAACUUUGUCAUCUUUCCAUACAUUUUAUUGUUAUGGUUGUAGAUUUAUAAUAAUUACCCUAUUUUCAUAACCGCCUUUUUUAUCAGACAUUAGUUGAGACCUUUUUUGCAUGCCAGUGCUGUUUAGGUUAAUUUCUUCACUGUUGAUUUUGCAUAAGCAGGCUUUCUUCUCGGCAAAUGCCGCCGCUCAGGCUUCAAGAAAGUCAUCUCCUAGGGUGACCAAUGAAGAAGUUCAGAAGGCUGUAAGUAUUAAAAAAAUUCAAAUUACUUAUGAUUUCUAAGAAUGGCUUAAGAAGUUAAUGGUGGCAUUUGCCUUGCAGGCUGCUGCUUUGAAGGGCUCCGACCAUCGCAGAGCUACAAAUGUUAGUGCCAGGCUAGAUGAACAACAGAAGAAGCUAAACCUUCCAAUUCUGCCUACGACCACAAUAGGUUCAUUCCCACAGACAAUGGAUCUUCGAAGAGUCCGACGUGAAUACAAGGCAAAUAAGUAGGUGUUCUCUAAUAAAUUGCCAAAUUUCUUUCAAUCUUUGACUCUUGUAUCUACUCUCGGAUUCAUCGCCGCAUU